GGGAACUGAAACAUCUAAGUACCCGGAGGAAAGGACAUCAACCGAGACUCCGCUAGUAGUGGCGAGCGAACGCGGACCAGGCCAGUGGCUGUAGAUUAAGAACUGGAACCGUCUGGAAAGUCGGGCCUUAGUGGGUGAUAGCCCCGUACAGGUAGAAAGAUCUAUAGUCCUCGAGUAGGGCGGGACACGUGAAAUCCUGUCUGAACAUGGGGGGACCACCCUCCAAGCCUAAGUACUCCUUACCGACCGAUAGUGAACUAGUACCGUGAGGGAAAGAUGAAAAGUACCCCGAUGAGGGGAGUGAAACAGUACCUGAAACCGGAUGCUUACAAGCUGAGGGAGCUCUUCGGAGUGACCUCGUACCUUUUGUAUAAUGGGUCAACGACUUAGUGUUGCGUGCAAGCUUAAGCCGUUAGGUGUAGGCGUAGCGAAAGCGAGUCUGAAUAGGGCGAAGAGCUAGUGGGGGUAGACGCGAAACCUGGUGAUCUACCCAUGGGCAGGUUGAAGCUAAGAUAGUAUCUUAGUGGAGGACCGAACCG
rnacentral:rRNA from 1 species